GAUGAAGAACGUAGCGAAAUGCGAUACGUAGUGUGAAUUGCAGAAUUCAGUGAAUCAUCGAAUCUUUGAACGCACAUUGCGCCCUUUGGUAUUCCAAAGGGCAUGCCUGUUCGAGCGUCAUUUGUACCCUCAAGCUUUGCUUGGUGUUGGGCGUCUUGUCUCCAGUCCGCUGGAGACUCGCCUUAAAGUCAUUGGCAGCCGGCCUACUGGUUUCGGAGCGCAGCACAAGUCGCACUCUUUUCCAGCCAAGGUCAGUGUCCAACAAGCCUUUUUUCAACUUUUGACCUCGGAUCAGGUAGGGAUACCCGCUGAACUUCAGCAUAUCAAUAAGCGGAGGA
rnacentral:misc_RNA from 1 species